rnacentral:lncRNA from 11 species
GAUGAAUUCAUGUGACUCCAAAAGAUGCAGAGUGGACUGCUUUUUGGACAAAAGAGGAAAACAAUAUAUAAUUUGUGAAGACAAAGGCUGA